rnacentral:rRNA from 1 species
GCUUACGGCCAUACCAGCCUGGGUACGCCCGAUCUCGUCUGAUCUCGAAAGCUAAGCAGGGUCGGGCCUGGUUAGUACUUGGAUGGGAGACCGCCUGGGAAUACCAGGUGCUGUAAGCA